rnacentral:rRNA from 1 species
UACGUAGGAGACGAGCGUUGUCCGGAAUUACUGGGCGUAAAGAGCGUGUAGGCGGCCAGGUAGGUCAGCUGUGAAAACUCGAGGCUCAACCUCGAGACGCCGGUUGAAACCAUCUGGCUAGAGUCCGGAAGAGGAGAGUGGAAUUCCUGGUGUAGCGGUGAAAUGCGCAGAUAUCAGGAAGAACACCCGUGGCUAAGGCGGCUCUCUAGUACGGUACUGACGCUGAGACGCGAAAGCGUGGGGAGCGAACAGG